rnacentral:rRNA from 1 species
CGCCUGCCCAGUGAACAAUUAAACGGCCGCGGUACCCUAACCGUGCAAAGGUAGCAUAAUCAUUUGUCUACUAAUUAUAGACCUGUAUGAAAGGCAAAAUGAGGGCCCGACUGUCUCUUAUAAUAAAUCAAUUAAACUGAUCUUCUAGUAAAAAAGCUAGAAUUACAACAUAAGACCAGAAGACCCUGUGAAGCUUAAACUAAACUAUUAAAUCAAUUAAUAACUACUUUCGGUUGGGGCGACCUUGGAAAAAAAAAGAACUUCCAAGACCCAGUACAACUGACAAUUGAACCAAGUUACUCCAGGGAUAACAGCGCAAUCCUCUUCAAGAGCCCAUAUCAAAAAGAGGGUUUACGACCUCGAUGUUGGAUCAGGACAUCCUAAUGGUGCAGCCGCUAUUAAGGGUUCGUUUGUUCAACGAUUAACAGUCCCACGUGAUCUGA